UGACUGUGUUCAAGACUGGAGUCUUCUGUGCCUGCAAACACAGCCGAAUUCAAUUACACUUCAGCUGUGUCACUAGCAGGUCAGGCUAAACUCAUGGUUCAUGGAAACAUCUGGAACUUCUUCAAGCUGGCGCUGCUUCCUCCUCCACUUCACCUGCAUGCUGAGAUUUACAGUGAUCUUGUGAAAUGUAUCCUGUGGUUUCUGGCUCAAGUGAGCAAAUCAUGUAGAAGAUAACCAGCGAAUCAAGGAUGCCCCCACCACCGGAACCCUCUCAAGGCACAUCAGCGUUCGUCCAUUCUCUUGUCCUGCUCAACAUUUUUUCUUCUUCAAGUCCCAAGUUGCUAAUUUCAUAUCAACUUUCAAAUUCCUAAAAUAGAUCUAGAAAUCUGUCUGGACAGAUCUAAGACAUAUAAAGAGUGGAUGGGCAGGACUUUGCAUUGAUUUGACAUGAGAACAGAUAGAAGAUUCAAGGAGAGCCCUAAGGUCCUAACCAGAGCUACGGGAGCUCGUGAAAGAGGAUGUUGAGCUCAGUUGUAAGGGAAUUAAAGUUGUAAGUGGCUCCUUGAAGACAUUCUUUAUAAUCAAACAUCUGAAAACUGGAACAUCGUUUUAGAGAGGUGGAGACGAGAAAAGAGAGUGUUUGUCCAAAGUUUAUACACCAAGGCUGUGGGUGAAACAGGAGCUUUGAUUUUGUGGUGUUCCAUCUACAACAUACACAAAACAAAAGAUGGAGAACAAGAAGUCCACGCAACCCAGGAAACACCAAGUUUCUGUCAAAAGCAAUAACGAACUGUUUUGUGCCAUUAACAAAAACGUUAUGAAGACAGAAACCAUCUCCCAAAGAUUUCAUAACAGAGCCACACAGUGAAGAGUAAAUGAUUAAAGAAUGUGGGUCUCAGAGUUCCAUUCAA